GCCUGCCUGCCCGCCUGCCCGCCUGCCCGCCUGCCUGCCUGCCUGCCUGCCUGCCUGCCUGCCUGCCUGCCUGCCUGCCUGCCUGCCUUGUCUUGUAUUGGUUGUUGCAGGUUCUGCCGGGGGCACUGGAAAACCAAAGCCUUGCUUCCUAGUCCCAUCACUGAUGCAUAGGAAACACUCGAAUUGUUUUUGACCCUAGGCAACUGCUUUCCAGUGUUUACAAUUUUAGGAGCCCCUGCUGGAAGUACAAUACCCAUAGGAACUUGGCAGGAUCAGCGUAAAUC